UACAAUGCAGUCGAGCGGAUGACGGGAGCUUGCUCCUUGAUUCAGCGGCGGACGGGUGAGUAAUGCCUAGGAAUCUGCCUGGUAGUGGGGGACAACGUUUCGAAAGGAACGCUAAUACCGCAUACGUCCUACGGGAGAAAGCAGGGGACCUUCGGGCCUUGCGCUAUCAGAUGAGCCUAGGUCGGAUUAGCUAGUUGGUGAGGUAAUGGCUCACCAAGGCGACGAUCCGUAACUGGUCUGAGAGGAUGAUCAGUCACACUGGAACUGAGACACGGUCCAGACUCCUACGGGAGGCAGCAGUGGGGAAUAUUGGACAAUGGGCGAAAGCCUGAUCCAGCCAUGCCGCGUGCGUGAAGAAGGUCUUCGGAUUGUAAAGCACUUUAAGUUGGGAGGAAGGGCAGUAAGUUAAUACCUUGCUGUUUUGACGUUACCGACAGAAUAAGCACCGGCUAACUCUGUGCCAGCAGCCGCGGUAAUACAGAGGGUGCAAGCGUUAAUCGGAAUUACUGGGCGUAAAGCGCGCGUAGGUGGUUCGUUAAGUUGGAUGUGAAAGCCCCGGGCUCAACCUGGGAACUGCAUCCAAAACUGGCGAGCUAGAGUACGGUAGAGGGUGGUGGAAUUUCCUGUGUAGCGGUGAAAUGCGUAGAUAUAGGAAGGAACACCAGUGGCGAAGGCGACCACCUGGACUGAUACUGACACUGAGGUGCGGAAGCGUGGGGAGCAAACAGGAUUAGAUACCCUGGUAGUCCACGCCGUAAACGAUGUCAACUAGCCGUUGGAAUCCUUGAGAUUUUAGUGGCGCAGCUAACGCAUUAAGUUGACCGCCUGGGGAGUACGGCCGCAAGGUUAA
rnacentral:rRNA from 1 species